rnacentral:miRNA from 1 species
AAACCGUUACCCUUACUGAGUUU